CUGAGUGGCCAGACAGGUGCCUAGCUACCGAAUCAUCCUGAUGGUGGUGGGGCCCGUGGUGUUCCAGGUGAUCUUGGCACACACCAAAGCUAGAAGACCACCUGUCACCUCGGAAGUGCGUGUAACCCAUCGGCCCCACGGGCAGAAACCCCGGUGCACACAGAUGUGAGCUGCGUCCCUGAAGCCACCUGUGGAGCCGCAGAGGUCCCAACCAUCUGGUCUCACCAGGAUGGCCUGCAGGCCACCCCUGGGCAGGCAGUGGGGCUGUGGGCAGCUUGCAGGGCCAGGACUUUGCUGGGUGACUUGAUGAGAAGCACAUCGCAGUGAUGCCGUCAGCCCCACACAAGUCAGAAACAGCACAUCUGAGUGCUCCUGUCACUAGCCACGGCUUCCGGGGAGCAGCUGCCGCCACCUUAGGGCCCAGAGUCAGAGCCACGCUGCUGCUCCACAGCCCUGAGGUGACAUUCCCUGGACCACGGACCCCGCCUUGCUGCCCUCCAGGGAAGCAGGAGGGGAAACCAGCUGUGUGUCACAGAAGCAGCGGUUUGCAGCCUGGGGUGGCUUUCCCCCGGGGCUCUGCGGUACCUCAGCUGGAGGUGCGCCUGCCCUGGGACUGCUCUGCACCCUAGUGCCCAGGACGCCCCCAGAGCAGCGCCCCCAGCCCUGGGCCGACUCAUGAAGCAGUUGUGCCGAAUCACUUGCCCCCAGGAGGGGGAUCUGCCUGCUGGCUUUAGAAUCUCUCUACACAGAAAAGCAUCUCAGCCCAGAGGGGUGACUUGGGAACAAAACGCAGCGCCCCGCAUCCCCGGCCUCAGCGACUUCCCUUGCUGAGCAUGAGCCUGCCGCAAGCGCUUGGCCGGCAGGGGGCCCACGGGGCUGGCGCAGCAUCAGGACCCGCCGGAAGGAUGCGGCCCGCGAGCUCCCCGGCCGAGCCCUGAGCCCGCUGCGCCUGCAGCCCCGGCGGACCUUGCAGAGCCAGGAGGGGGUGCCCGCCGGUACGUGCGCUCUGGAGCAGCACCCGAAUGGCAGAGCCGACGGGAGGGUCAAAGAAAGUGCCCCCAGAAACCACAGGCUGUGUUGGGCCGCGGCGGUCCGGUCCUCCUGUUUCCACUGUACCAGGCGCAGGUGUCAGGGCGCAGACAGAACCACCUCCACCGGCCCCGCCGGCCCUGUCACCCCAACCAACGUGGCCAUCUGGCCUGGAGGGGUCCACCGCGGCCCCACAGCCCCCUCCCUCCAGCCGCCCCUCCGCCCGGGAGCCGCCUUGGACCAGGCCUGCGGGGCAUGGGCUUCUGCGGUGCAGGACCUCUGGGCCCAACCGAUGGCACCCAAAAGGUGACGCAGCCUACCUUGGUGGCCGAGGGUAGCGCCGCCCAACUCUAAGGUUCUACUCAUGGGAUCUGCAGAAGGAAACAGCAUAAGGAUUUUAAAAGGAAAUACAGACUAUAUUCUGGGUUGGGCAAGAUUUUCUUAAAGAGAACAUGGAAGCAUUAGCUGUGAUUUUUUUUUUAAAUCAACCGGCUGGAUCACAUUGAUUAAAAUAAGGAGUCCACUAAAACAGAGAAAUCAGUGGAUCAUCAAGUACAUUAAGGUAGCCGCGUGUUGGUGCCCGCCUGACAGUUUAGCAAGGCCCUAAGCAACUUGGCAAGGUCUUGUCUCUCUUUAUUUAAAUUUGUAAAAAGCGCGGCUGGGGUUGUGGCUGUGGGUCAGUGGUAAAGUG
rnacentral:lncRNA from 1 species